rnacentral:rRNA from 1 species
UACGUAGGUGGCAAGCGUUGUCCGGAAUUAUUGGGCGUAAAGGGCGCGCAGGCGGUUCUGUUUGUCGAGUGUGAAAGCCCCGGGCUCAACCUGGGAACUGCGCUCGAAACGGCGGAACUAGAGUUCGGGAGAGGAGAGUGGAAUUCCCAGUGUAGAGGUGAAAUUCGUAGAUAUUGGGAAGAACACCGGUGGCGAAGGCGGCUCUCUGGACCGAUACUGACGCUGAGGCGCGAAAGCGUGGGGAGCAAACAGG